ensembl:lncRNA
CACGGGAGCCCGACCCCCCCCCCGCUCUCGGCCGUUCUAGUCACCAUGGAAGGAACUGUAUUGUGUUUAGAACCGAAGGGACCGAACCUGAGGACUUCCAGUACCACCCCACUGCCGUCCUGGCGGCUGCUUUCAGUGCAGACAAUGAGCCCACGUCUCAGCCCAGAAAAGGGACGCAAGCAGUUCGUUAGAUAGCUUGCAUUCCUUCUGCCAGUUGAGGCAACUGUGAUUAUUUAUUUUAUACUGUCCAAGAAUAUCUUAGAAAGUUAGCAAAACAUAUGGAUGUGCGCAGAGCAGCUCCGGUUCCCUCUCUAAUAAAUAGCAGCAGCCCCGUUGUCUUUAGCACAGCCAGCGCUGGUCACGUCGCUGCUUACAGCCUAAACAUGCAGGGAAGGAGAGCGGUGGGAGGAAGGAGAUAAGCCUCGGAAGGAAGAGGGGAACGGCAGAUGUCCAGGUCAGUGCACCACAGUCGAUCCCACACGUCAGCAUUUAGGACGUUUGACCUCAAACCUUGCUCACCGUGCUUCUGUGGGACCCACAGGGGAAUCGCCGCCGGUCUUCAGGCCAUGCUGCCGAGGACCGCUGAGUUCAGGGCAGCAAGUCCAGCUCUAUGAGAACCAAGUCCAACUCCAUGGGAACCAAGCUACGCAGCAUCUCUUCCAACAGGGCUGUUCCCUUUUACACGUGUGCUAUUGCAGAUCAGGAUGCCAGAAUUUUACAUGCACUGUACACAUUUUAAAAAUCCCAAAUCUUUUUAGAAACUCUGCAAGAAUAGUAAGUCCAUCCAAUAAAUAAAUAAAUAAAUAAUCCAUCUCUUGAAAGGAUCCUCCCUGCUAAUUAGAGCUGAGCUCCAUCCUGCAUGGAUGUAUUUUCUUUGUUUUCUACAUACUAAUUUGUUUCUGCUGAUAACGAGAGCCAAACUGUGUUUUGAAAACUCGUGCAACCAGAUUUAAUCUAUUAGGACUAUGCUGUUUUCAAUUGUCUGUAGGACGGCAUUCCAACUUUAGGGACAAAAGAAAAGAAAUAUGAGCCUCAAGAUUUGUUUAUUAAAAACACAUCUAAUUGGUUAAAUCUCUCACAAAACCUCCAAAAUGAAGAUGGAAAAAAGAAGCAUAUAUUAUAGGGCUGCCUGUCAUUUUUAGACAGACGAG